AGGGUUCGAUUAUGGCUCAGGACGAACGCUGGCGGCGUGCUUAACACAUGCAAGUCGAACGAGGAUUCAGAAGCUUGCUUUUGAAUCCGAGUGGCAAACGGGUGAGUAACGCGUAAACAACCUGCCUUCAGGAUGGGGACAACAGACGGAAACGACUGCUAAUACCGAAUACCUUCCGGAGACCGCAUGAUUUCCGGAAGAAAGGGUGGCCUCUACUUGUAAGCUAUCGCCUGAAGAGGGGUUUGCGUCUGAUUAGGCAGUUGGCGGGGUAACGGCCCACCAAACCGACGAUCAGUAGCCGGUCUGAGAGGAUGAACGGCCACACUGGAACUGAGACACGGUCCAG
rnacentral:rRNA from 1 species